rnacentral:rRNA from 1 species
CGGUAAUUCCAGCUCCAAUAGCGUAUAUUAAACUUGUUGCAGUUAAAUAGCUCGUAGUUGAAUUUCWGCGUUUCCUUUUCUUUGCUUUGUCGCUUUGAUUUGGUUUCGCUUUUGUUUUUACUUUGAGAAAAUUAGAGUGUUUCAAGCAGACUUUUGUCUUGAAUACUUCAGCAUGGAAUAAUAGAGUAGGACCGUAGUCCUAUUUUGUUGGUUUUGUGGACUACUGUAAUGGUUAAUAGGAACGGUUGGGGGCAUUCGUAUUUGACUGUCAGAGGUGAAAUUCUUAGAUUUGUCAAAGACGAACUACUGCGAAAGCAUUUGCCAAGGACGUUUUCAUUAAUCAAGAACGAAAGUUAGGGGAUCGAAGACGAUCAGAUACCGUCGUAGUCCUAACCAUAAACUAUGCCGACUAGAGA